UUUUUAGUAUAAUUAUAUCCCAUGCAAUAUUUGGGACAUACUUAUCCUAAAA
rfam:Chlorocebus sabaeus isolate 1994-021 chromosome 21, whole genome shotgun sequence.